CCUACUGGAGGCAGCAGUGAGGAAUAUUGGUCAAUGGACGCGAGCCUGAACCAGCCAAGUCGCGUGAGGGAAGACGGUCCUAUGGAUUGUAAACCUCUUUUGUCGGGGCGCAAAAGACGCCACGCGUGGCGUUCCGAGAGUACCCGAAGAAAAAGCAUCGGCUCACUCCGUGCCAGCAGCCGCGGUAAUACGGAGGAUCCGAGGGGGUUCCGGAUUUAGUGGGUUUAAAGGGUGCGCAGGCGGAAGAUAAGGUCAGCGGGAAAAUUGAGAGGCUCAACCUCUUCGAGCCGUUGAAACUGGUUUUCUUGAGUGAGCGAGAAGUAUGCGGGAUGCUUGGUGUAGCGGUGAAAUGCAUAGAUAUCACGCAGAACUCCGAUUGCGAAGGCAGCAUACCGGCGCUCAACUGACGCUCAUGCACGAAAGUGUGGGUAUCGAACAGGAUUAGAUACCCCUGUAGUC
rnacentral:rRNA from 1 species